ACUCCUACGGGAGGCAGCAGUGGGGAAUAUUGCACAAUGGGGGAAACCCUGAUGCAGCCAUGCCGCGUGUGUGAAGAAGGCCUUCGGUUGUAAAGCACUUUCAGUAGGGAGGAAGGUAGUGUAGUUAACACCUGCACUAUUUGACGUUACCUACAGAAGAAGCACCGGCUAACUCCGUGCCAGCAGCCGCGGUAAUACGGAGGGGUGCGAGCGUUAAUCGGAAUUACUGGGCGUAAAGCGCAUGCAGGCGGCCUGUUAAGUCAGAUGUGAAAGCCCGGGGGCUUAACCUCGGAAUUGCAUUUGAAACUGGCAGGCUAGAGUCUUGUAGAGGGGGUAGAAUUUCAGGUGUAGCGGUGAAAUGCGUAGAGAUCUGAAGGAAUACCAGUGGCGAAGGCGGCCCCUGGACAAAGACUGACGCUCAGAUGCGAAAGCGUGGGGAGCGAAACAGGAUUAGAUACCCUGGUAGCACA
rnacentral:rRNA from 1 species